rnacentral:rRNA from 1 species
AGCAGUAGGGAAUCUUCCACAAUGGACGAAAGUCUGAUGGAGCAACGCCGCGUGAGUGAAGAAGGUUUUCGGAUCGUAAAACUCUGUUGUUGAAGAAGAACAUGCGUGAGAGUAACUGUUUAUGUAUUGACGGUAUUCAACCAGAAAGCCACGGCUAACUACGUGCCAGCAGCCGCGGUAAUACGUAGGUGGCAAGCGUUAUCCGGAUUUAUUGGGCGUAAAGCGAGUGCAGGCGGUUAAUUAGGUCUGAUGUGAAAGCCCUCGGCUCAACCGAGGAAGUGCAUCGGAAACCGGUAAACUUGAGUGCAGAAGAGGAGAGUGGAACUCCAUGUGUAGCGGUGGAAUA